GCCCGGGUGGUGAAACUGGUAGACACAAGGGACUUAAAAUCCCUCGGCUUCACGGCCGUGCCGGUUCGAUUCCGGCCCCGGGCACCA
rnacentral:tRNA from 2 species